rnacentral:rRNA from 1 species
GACGAACGCUGGCGGCGUGCUUAACACAUGCCAGUCGAACGGAAAGGCCCUGCUUGCAGGGUACUCGAGUGGCGAACGGGUGAGUAACACGUGGGUGAUCUGCCCUGCACUUCGGGAUAAGCUUGGGAAACUGGGUCUAAUACCGGAUAGGAGCCAUCUUUAGUGUGGUGGUUGGAAAGUUUUUUCGGUGUAGGAUGAGCUCGCGGCCUAUCAGCUUGUUGGUGGGGUAAUGGCCUACCAAGGCGGCGACGGGUAGCCGGCCUGAGAGGGUGUACGGCCACAUUGGGACUGAGAUACGGCCCAGACUCCUACGGGAGGCAGCAGUGGGGAAUAUUGCACAAGGGGCGCAAGCCUGAUGCAGCGACGCCGCGUGGGGGAUGAAGGCCUUCGGGUUGUAAACUCCUUUCGCUAGGGACGAAGCUUUUUGUGACGGUACCUAGAGAAGAAGCACCGGCUAACUACGUG